rnacentral:rRNA from 1 species
AUUGAACGCUGGCGGCAGGCCUAACACAUGCAAGUCGAGCGGAUGAAGGGAGCUUGCUCCUGGAUUCAGCGGCGGACGGGUGAGUAAUGCCUAGGAAUCUGCCUGGUAGUGGGGGAUAACGUCCGGAAACGGGCGCUAAUACCGCAUACGUCCUGAGGGAGAAAGUGGGGGAUCUUCGGACCUCACGCUAUCAGAUGAGCCUAGGUCGGAUUAGCUAGUUGGUGGGGUAAAGGCCUACCAAGGCGACGAUCCGUAACUGGUCUGAGAGGAUGAUCAGUCACACUGGAACUGAGACACGGUCCAGACUCCUACGGGAGGCAGCAGUGGGGAAUAUUGGACAAUGGGCGAAAGCCUGAUCCAGCCAUGCCGCGUGUGUGAAGAAGGUCUUCGGAUUGUAAAGCACUUUAAGUUGGGAGGAAGGGCAGUAAGUUAAUACCCUGCUGUUUUGACGUUACCAACGAUAAGCACCGCUAAUUC